rnacentral:rRNA from 1 species
UACAGAGGGUGCAAGCGUUAAUCGGAAUUACUGGGCGUAAAGCGUGCGUAGACGGUUAUUUAAGUCAGGUGUGAAAGCCCCGGGCUUAACCCGGGAAUGGCAUUGGAUACUGCAGAUCUGGAGGAUCGGAGGGGGGACUGGAAUUCUUGGUGUAGCAGUGAAAUGCGUAGAUAUCAAGAGGAACACCAGUGGCGAAGGCGAGUCCCUGGACGAUACCUGACACUGAGGCACGAAAGCCGGGGGAGCAAACAGG